rnacentral:rRNA from 1 species
CCUACGGGUGGCAGCAGUGGGGAAUAUUGCACAAUGGGGGAAACCCUGAUGCAGCGACGCCGCGUGAGCGAUGAAGUAUUUCGGUAUGUAAAGCUCUAUCUGUAGGGAAGUAAAUGACGGUACGUGACUCAGUAGCCCCGGCUAACUACGUGCCAGCAGCCGCGGUAAUACGUCGGCGGCGAGCGUUAUCCGGAUUUACUGGGUGUAAAGGGAGCGUAGAUGGUCCUGCAAGUCAGAUGUGAAAGUCCGCGGCUCAACCGCAGGACUGCAUUUGAAACUGUAAGGCUAGAGUGUCGGAGAGGCAGGCGGAAUUCGUAGUGUAGCGGUGAAAUGCGUAGAUAUUAGGAGGAACACCAGUGGCGAAGGCAGUCUACUAAACGAUGACUGACGUUGAGGCUCGAAAGCGUGGGGAGCAAACAGGAUUAGAUACCCGGGUAGUC